rnacentral:rRNA from 1 species
CUGACGCGCAAUGCCGCGUGGGGAUGAAGGCUUCGGGUCGUAAACCCCUUUGCCAAGGAGGAGAUGCUUGGAGAAUAAGUGACUGCUAACUCUGUGCCAGCAGCCGCGGUAAUACAGAGGUCACAAGCGUCAUCCGGAUUUAUUGGGCGUAAAGCGUUUCGUAGGUGGGUUUAUAAGUUAUUUUUCAAAUCCCAAGGCUCAACCUUGGAAAGGGAGAUAAUACUGUAAGUCUUGAUUUUUGGUGGGGUAUCUGGAACUGAUAGUGUAGUAGUGAAAUACGUUGAUAUUAUCAGGAACUCCAAGGGCGAAGGCAGGAUACUAACCAAUUAAUGACACUGAGGAACGACAGCUAGGGGAGCGAAAGGGAUUAGAGACCCCUGUAGUCCUAGCCGUAAACUAUGCUCGCUAGGGAUGGGGCCGUAAGGUUUCGUCCCGUAAGCUAACGCGUUAAGCGAGCCGCCUGGGGAGUACGACCGCAAGGUUAAAACUCAAAGGAAUUGACGGGGACCCGCACAACCAGUGGAGCAUGUGGUUUAAUUCGAGACGAAACGAAGAACCUUACCGAGCUUUGACAUGAUACUGUUUUAAGUUUCCAGAAACAGAGACCUAUCUUUAGAAAUAUUGAAGGUAUCACAGGUGUUGCAUGGCCGUCGUCAGCUCGUGCCGUAGGGUGUUCCCUUCAGUGGGGUAACGAGCGCUACCCUUGCCCUGAGUUGAAUAUUCUCGGGGGACUUUUUGAAUUUAUUUCAGAAGGAAGUGAGGACGACGUCAGGUCAGCAUGGCCCUUAUAGCUCGGGCCACACACAUGCUACAAUGGAGCCGACAAAGGGUAGCCAAGUCGUAAGACGGAGCUAAUCCCAUAAACGGCUUCUCAGUUGGGAUUGAAGGCUGCAACUCGCCUUCAUGAACGCGGAAUUGGUAGUAAUCGCGCAUCAGCUAUGGCGCGGUGAAUACGUUCUCGGGUCUUGUACACACCGCCCGUCAAGUUAGCAAAGUUGGAGAUACCUUAAGACCGUUUGUAACGGUCCAAGGUAGAUCAG